GAAGUAAGCCGGAUGGCAUGGGCAAACAAGUUCUGCACGCUUGGGUUCACCACAGCAGCCCUGCAGCUCCCUCCAUGCCUCAGGCAGCCCAGAGCAAUCUCCAGGUGAGGUGGAGGUGCCACUCCUGGGCUGGAGGUGCUUGGCAAUUGUCCCAUCCCACCGGGACCAAUGCCUUUGGGCACCUGGACAGCAGCAGAGCAAGCUUCACAUCAACCUGCUGCUCACUGGGGGCUGUCUCUGGGUGGACAGGGUGUAGGGGCAGUUCCUUAACGGGCAGAGCAAGGAUGCGGUGGGAGCAGCAAGUAAUGGAAUUGCUGGCUUUGAAAUUCAUGCAGGAGGGCCGCACCUUUGGAGGAUGGGAGGUUUUCAGAAAAUUUGGAGCCCUGUCCAUCCUCCUAAAUAGAGGUCAGUUUAAGAUGACACUUUGUUAUUAUUUAGAGUAGUAAUGUUUCUCACUAGCCAUGUCAAUAUUACAGCAAGUAAUGCUGCCCAAGGGGAAUGGAUCUACAGAGUAAAAAUCCCAAGGCUGAAGGCUUAACACCCACUCUCACACAUAUUUCUAGUUUAGACUGCUGUUGCUCUUGCCCUACGGGCUGAAUGUCCUCUGGAUUCCCCAUCACAUAUCCUGGUUUAGUUCCACCCAAAGGGAAACCAGCUUUCCUGCCCUGAGAUGACUUUGGAUUGAAAUGGAAACAUGGUAAGUUGGAAUUUGCUGGAGCCAAAGUCCCAAGCUGAAAUGCUGACAUGUACUCAUCCCUUCUGUCUAAACCUUAGGACUUCACUGUGAGAGCUCAGCAAGCUCAGACUCGAGCUCAGGAGAUGCUGAAGUUGUUCUUGUGAAAUCAUAAACCAGGGAUUUAUCAUGGCAAUUACAUAAUAAUUAUGUAAUUGCUACAAAAGUGGGAUUUGCCAUAAAAUCAGUUAUCCUCUUAGCUUCUCAAUGCAGAUCAGAUAACAAUAAUUUCAUUCAAGAAUAUUCUCUAGUUUCCUACCUUAUUUCAUUUCCUGGAUAUAAUGAAACACUGUAACAAAUUAUUGCUCUUUUUUCUCCAUACUUUGCCUUUUAUUCAAAUGUAAAUGUAAAUGUUGUGGAGACGAAUGUUGCAUUUUUUGACAAUUUUUUAAAAUUGCUAUUCCGAAUAGAAACAAACUCAACAUGGAGUGAAACAUAAAAUAUGUCACUGCUGGGUUUACAUUACUUAAAACUGUAAAAUAAUGUGACAUGUUUUUUCCCCUUUUAAUAUUAUUUUUUGGCAAAGUAAUUUUGAAAACAACAAAACAUUUAUAGUUAUUUUUAAUGACAAACUACUCUUUCCCCUACAAGUUAAAAGUUGCCAGAAUAGUAAAGCAUGUGAAGAGUUUAGAUUUUGAUGAUCAUUGACUUUCCAGUGGAAAAUAUUCUCAGUAAACUGAUUAGUUGCUUCUUUAAAAGCAAGGAGGAAGAAACAAUAUUUAGUUGGAAAAUAUCUUAGCUAUCCAAUAGGCAAAGCAACUAUAAAGUUUUAAAACCUCCUCCAGGUUCUUCACCAUCACUAUCUGAGAUAACCUUCUAAUUAUGACUGCCACCAUUUGGGAGCUUUGUGAUGGGAAUAUUUUAACUGAAAAAGUAAUUAGGAAUGUGAAUUGUGUUUUGUGUAUGACACAUGUGCUUUUAUAACUUUUUCCCUGAUAACAUCAUGAGAUGUAACCCAGCCUCGUAGUACCUACUAAGGGUUUUGGUCCAAAGAAGAAGACAUUUUCUCUAUACAGCCUUCAGAUGUAACUUUUUGGACUUCUAUAUUGAUAUAUGCAGCUUUAUACGACUCCUGUAUUUAUAUGCCUUCUAUAUUGAGGGGCUUUGUAUUUCUGCUGUAAACAGUCACCUCCCCUAAUCCAUACUGUAUGGAACAAUUUGAAAAUAACAUUAUUAACGGGAAGGUAGUCACCCACAGAAAGUAUAAUCACAUUUGAUUUUAGAAAAUAACAAAAAGCUGAGCAUGCUGCCUGGAUCUCACUUGCCUAUUUCCCUUUUAUAAAAGAUAUUUGGGCUAUGGAUAAUUUAUAAACAAAUAGUAUUAUGUUAUUGAUCCCUAAUCUCCAUGGUUACUGGGAUCCUCCAGUUGCAUGUGUAAAGCAGCAUGAGCCAGAGAGGGCUGGAAAUGUGGGAAUCAUUCUAAAGGACAAAGAGGGCAAUUUCCUUUAUUUUACACAUUGGCAUAAGUGGCAAAGCUGUUUUAUCUUUACAUGAGGACUUGGUGAGAAAAAAGCAAUGCUGUACUCAAACACCAUAAGCCAGGUUCUUGCAAGUGAGAGUGCACUGAAGUUCAUGGUGUGCUGGUCAGACUCAGAUCCUGAUCUUUGUCCAUGGUGUUGUUAUAGACUUUUCUAGAACUUUCCACUUGUCAUAGUGGGAUCUGUGAGAACACCACCAGCUCAAGAGUCACUCUCUUAUAAUGUCACCUUAAAUUAGUGGUAAGUACUCAGCCUUGUACAGUCAAGUUUUUAAACAUUUUUUUUUCUUCUUGCUGUUUGAAAGACCCAGACAACCAACCAGAGUGUUAUUGUUGUCAUUAUUAUGAAAAAUAUAAAGUAUGAAAAUAUCCUACACAUAAGUACCCUAAAAUGGAGUUUUCCACACCUCUACCUCUAUUUUUUACUUCCAGUAAUCUCAGACAGUUCUUGGAGCAACAGUGUGGAAAACAUUAAAGCAAAUUUUGGUGAAGUUUACUUUUUUAACAAACUUGUUUUUAAUACCCUUCUAUGUCACCUUUGAACCAACCAGAAGCAGCUUAAUCCUCUUCUAGAUAUCUUGAGUAACUACUUUAAAAUGCAAAUAGAAAUUAGUGGAGGAAGUUUUGCCUCUUGAUUGAAAUAACUUGGAAGAAAAAACCUCUAUUAGUUUCCACACACUGAUUAUUCUUUGACUUUUCCUUAUCGGGUUCUUUUCCAUUUACUUUUAGUUUCCCUAUUUCUGAAUUCAAUUUCCCCUAGCUUCAUCUUUGUGGAAUAUUUAUCCUGCUACAAGCUAUUCCCCAAGGCUGUGGAUAUCUGCUUUCCAAUCUAGCUGCAGAGGCAACUGCUCUGAAGGACAUGGUCACCUUUUCCAUGGGCUCACCAACUGCUCCUUCUCCUUGCAUUCCUGCAUAUUUUUUUAAACAGUAAGAUACUGCCUGUUAGCCUAGUCAAUAUUUUAAUACUCUCUGGCCACUCUCCUCUCUGUCUUUUUAUUAAAAGGCACUUUUAAGAUUCCUUCCCAAAUAAAGCAUGUUAAUGAUUUUUUUAUUCUUUUUCCACUGUAAGUUUACUCCCAAAUAUGGUAUUUUUGGCAUGUGUCGUAUCUCUCAAGGCUCCUAGUGGAGUGGAUACUUACAACUAGGAGUAGAUAUUAAAAAACAAAAACGGGAUUUACAAAGAAUGUUCUUUCAUAUAAUGUAUUUCAGAAAAAGUAGCAGAAAUGAAAGCAUUUAAAUACACAAGAGCCAUAAAGUUGUUAAACCAAGAUGCUUAGGCACUACUGUAGCCACGGAAGGACCAUAAGCAAUAAAAAGAUCCACUUUUGGAACACAAAGUGUAUAAAAGACUAUAGAAAACAAGUAAUUCAGCAUAUGGAAAGAGGAUUUGUGGCUGUUUCUGGCUACAGAAAGUCUCAAAAGUUGACAACAGGAGUCAUUCCAGAAUGACACUUCCAUAAAAAACAGUGAAGCAACAAUAUACUUCUAUCUACGUUUCUGUGUAAUUGCAUCAUUCCCUGCCCCAGAUGUCUAAUUCCCCAAAAAAUUCCAUCUUCAAAAGGAAAACAGUGGCCACGAAUCAAGCUGAAAUGAACCCACAAGUGAGAACUGAAAAGUGGGGUUUGCAAAAAGUCAGUCUUUGGAAAAUUACCACAAGAUGUAUAUAUGAAAAAUUAUUAAAAAUGGCUCCAGAAAUCAGAAAGACUCAUUUUGUCUCCCCUCCUUCCUAAAUAAGAAUAAUAAAUUGCAAAAUAUGCAAGGCUAGAUCACAUUAGAGAAUUCUCAUAAAUUAUGUAUUACAUAGUUGGACAUUAAACUGUUAAUCCAGGAAAGCUUCAGAGUAAGGGUUUCCAAUUUCCACUUUAUGAAUUUUUGUCAGCACAGCUUCCUGUGGUCAGAUGAUGUAUCCUGUCAGUGCUAGGCUUUUUUUCCCCCCAAAUACUUAAUUGAAUUUUAAUGACGUGCAGAAUCUCACACACCGGUGCUUUGUUGAAAGGCAGUGCUAGAGACCAUUCCCAUUUUUUGUUCCUGACUGCACCUUUGUGAUUUCUUACUAUAUUAAUUCUUGUAAGCAUGUCUAAUUUUCUCACCAAAGACUUGAACACGUGAGCCUUAAUUAAACACAUUAGUAGUCAUGGAACAAUUAACGUUAAGUCUUCCACAGAAAGAAUUGGUCUGCAGGGAAGAGGAGUCGAACACUGAGUGCACUGUGUGCUAGCACUUUAUUUACAGAGAAAACCCCAAAUCAAAUCAAUAUCAGUUUGCCUAAAGAAGAAACUAUCAUGCUUCAUGGACUGAGACACUAAAGUCUUCUUCUCACAUAUUUUUCUUAAUACAUGGCCGCUGUCCUGGAGCUUAAUCAGAAUUCAUGAAGCUGCUGAAGUCGAGAAAAUUAUUGAUCUUAUUAAAGAUGUAACAGCACCAGACUGAGGAGAUGGAGCCUCCAGAGGAAAGAGAGGAUGGGAGCCUGUGGGAGAGGCUGAAGCAGCUACACUUCACUCUGUGUUUAGCUCACACUGCCACAAGAAACCAGAGGCAUUUUUCUUUCAUAGAUCAACAGCUUUAAAGCCAGGGCACAACUGCCCCAGGUUGAGCACUUAUAUCUCUCCACCUACAGCUGCAAAGUAUGCCUUCCUGGUCAUCAUCAACAAUGUUUUAAUUAACUUUGGAAGCUUAAUUCCUCCUUCACUUAAUCCCAUUUAAUGCUACUGGAAACAAAGGAGUGGCAUAGGUGUAGCUGGAUGGGAAUUUAGAAAUUGUAGGUUACAAGGAUGUUACAGAUGGCCUAACUUGACUGACACAGCUGGUACUAAGAGAGAGAGAAAUCAUCUAGGUAUACUUUUGUAUCCUAGGGUUUCUUCUGUACUAACCUGAGAGUGCAAAUUAAUUGCUCUCAAUUAGGGGGCAUUUUGUUUAGACUGACCCCAAAUAUUUUUUCUUUUUUUUACGAGGAAUAGAAAAACUGCAGAAGUCCCAAUUCAGAUAAGUUGUUACUUUUGACAGGAAAUAGCUUCUUUUAUUCAGAAGUAACUAGAACAAGAGGAAUCAAAGCACUCAGAUCACAGAAAUUUGGAGGUGGGAGUACCCCCCGCUGAACACCUGCAUGGUUAUGCUGCUUCACUCACUGAGAUGUGAGAAACUGGGUUAAAUUUGGAGAGAUCCUUCAGCCUCAAGGACCAGGAUCUUUGGAGCUGACUCUCACUCAGUCUCUCCUGCUAUAACUCUUCCUCUAAUAUAACUAAUCCUCCCUCUAUACAAAAUGCAUAAUAAAUAUUAGGUCAGUCAGAGCCCAUCCCUAAGACACAAACUCCUUACUUCUGGUCCUCAUAAUUUUUUUUUUCCCCACUGCCAAAUGGAUGGAAAGAAUGAUGGCAGAGAAGGAGAGUCACUGGCUCUUGCCUCCCUUCCCAGUCUGAGGAGGGCAGAGGAGGGUGCAGUUGGACACCUUCAGGGUGGUGACCUUGAGCUGCUCCUCCCCUGACCUGUGCGCUGCCCUUAGAGGUGCUGCUCCACCCUGAUGUUUACUCACAUGCACAAAACACACCAGUAUCAGGAACAGGGACUGGGGACCUCACCUCAGGAAGGAAUAUAACAUGGUAAUUAAAGGACUAAUUUAGGAAAUUAAAAAGUUCAAUUCAAAUAAUCUUAUGAAGAAGAAGGUUUUGGCCAUACAUCUCCCAGGUUCUGCAUUAUUCAAGUGCCAAGUAUUGCAUCAAAGGAAGCACAAAUCCUUUUGUUUCCUCCUCCAGCUUUAUUUAUCUAGGUAAAAAAGACAGCUGAAACUAUUUGGCAAAUCUGAUGCAGAUUAAAGUGGGGGGAAACUAAACCCAGUACUUUUGGUAAUUACUGUAGUCAUCUAAAACAUUUACCCAGCUGAACACCACAGUGGUAUUCUUACAGCACACCUGCGCAGGCAGGAUUGUCAAGCUAAACUGGAAUUCGUUUUAUCUCUCCACUGCAGGUGAAAAUUAAAAGUUAAAACCAGAAAGAAGCAACACAGGUCUUCUGGCUAGCAACCACUCUCUUGAUAAAAGAUGACAUGCAGCUGCUCUUAUCAGGGUAAAGGCUGCUGCCAGAGAGGAUCAAGUUUCCUUCUUUGGCAGAAUACUUUUAAUUAAGGCACACCCAUAAACACUGGAAUGUUGGAGGAUGAUGUUUAUUGGAGCUGCUGCUGCAUGCUUGCUGAACUCAACCAUUGCUGCAAGAUCAGAACUAGAACCAGACAAACACAAACAAUUUGGCUUUGGGUUAUGACCCAUGAAUAAGCACCACUCAAUAUGGUUAGAGGAUGGCCAUUCUCCCAUCUGCUGUUUGAUUUUCUUGUCCUUCCUGUGGAAAACAAACAAACAAACAACCAAACCAACAACAAACAUGAAUGAGUUCAGGAGACCUGGGAUAUCAGACACCUGAUUUCACUGCAUGAAGACCUUUUUGUUGAAGUGACACAAAAGACAACAUCCAUCUCUAAGACCUGUUCACUCAAAGGGGUGAGUCACCCUUACAUCAGGAGCUUUGUGUGGUCCAGGCUGGAGCUGGUAGCAAAAUGUUGAAACAGCAGGCCUAGGAGAGCUGAAAGUACCCUGAAAGACUCCACCAGACUGUUUGCAGAGAAACCCUAUCUUUGUAAAAUGCUAAUCAGAGCCAGAAAAUUUCCAAGCAUCCCAAGAUGAGAAACUCAUCCACCUAGUACUCUGCUGAUGGUCUAGCAGGAGAUCCAUUUCUAAGUACCACUUUGCUUACGACAUCCGGCUCACUCUUAGGACAUCUUAAAUGUACAUGAUGAAAGAAGUUAAUAUGAAGAUAAAUUGUUUGCUGGAAGAAAAAAAAAAAAGGAAAUAAAGAGAAGAAACAAAAGCAAGAGUGAGCAAAGAGCAGAAGCCUCCUUGAUCUAGCCUUCACUUGGCUGAAUGGGAGGCACAGGUUCACAUUACACUCCUUUGGAAUGAUAAUCACACCCUUCUUUGAGGCUGACACACCACUGGGAGGAUUAUCUUUGCAGGGCAGCCCAGAUCCUUCUCACUGAUAAAGCUGCUGUAUCUGAAAAGUAUUUGGCAGAACUGUCACCACACACACAAACAGAGGAGCUGACUCCUAACCUCAGAGGCUUGGUAUGGGGAGGUGUCUGCAUCAGCUCCUGUGCCCUCCAGAUCAACUCUACAGAUCAUCACCUUUGCAACUUGGAGAAGAAAACACGGUUUCCUUGGGGAGCUUUGAGGUGGUUUUAUUAAUGGUUUCAAAACCUUCAGAGGUAACAUUUUCAAGGUAACAAGUUUUUUCUUCACCCAUUGCUUUCCCACCAACACCCACUUCUGAACAUACAGCUUUCUUCUGUCUCCUUGUGGGCUAAGAAGUCAUUAAAAAAUUAUUUUUUGCUUUUCUUUCCAAAAUUAAAAGAUACUGCUUCUUCUACCCUUGCAUGAUCAACUGUACUUAUUACUCCCUUUUUCUAGACUCCUUCUGAGUUAUGUCACAUAUCAUCAUUUUUCCCUAAACAUUUUCUGUUUAACAUUCCUGUUUAUUGGUAGAGCCUAAGCCAUAACUCAGUACUAUAGGGGAAGGUCUUCCCCUUGAGACCUUUCAUCAGGGGUGUAUAAUAACUGAGCAAUAACGUCAAAGAGUUUGGUUUCUACAUGAUGGCACUGAUUCCCACUGUUUAUUGGAAGGCCCUCUCUCCAACAGCAGUGGUUACAUUGUAUCUCAAGCAUCAUGGAAAUAAUGCCUGGCUACAUCUACUUGGCUGGCAUGUAGAAGUUUGAAUUUCUUCAAGUAAUGUGUGUGCUUUGUUUCAUUUAGGGCUAAAAAGAAUCUGAAGAAAUUAUCCAGUAGAUGUGCUUCAUUGGAACUGCUCUGAUUUCUCAGAGAAAGAACUCUCUUUAUGGCCAAAUAAUGCUUAUGGGUAGAUUUGCCAAACAACGCUUUUCUUUCCAAGGAUCCAUAAAUCUCAGAGUACUUUUGAGAGUAAUAAAUGUUGCAAUAAUGUUGUUCUUGAUUACAGGCAAGACUGUAACAGCUCUGACUGGUAGUGAUUCCAUAAUUAUGUUUGAUUACAGACAGGCUCUGUGCAAUGCAAGGGGGUUAUUUGUUGCCUUCUAUCUGUCCUGGAUUCCACUGGGGACCGAGAUCACGCCAUGCCACAUACACAGCUUACUCAGCUGCCUUCCUCAGAGCGUUGUCACUAAAGCAAAGCAUUUAAUGGCAGGAGCUGGGAUAGUUGGGUGUGCAAAACCUUUUAUGGAACUGUAAUUAAGCCACUAUGGAACUACUUCAAGUGAGGGCCACUGCCUAAGAGGAUCCUGAAUUUCAGCAGCCCUUGAGGACCUGAUCUUGCAUGCUUCAUAGUGUGCAGGGGCUAAAGUUACUCGUGCCUUUAUUGCAAGGACAGUAAGGGCCAAAGCGACAAUGAGAAAUAAACUGUACCUCUAACAUUGUCCACACUUUCUACUACUAAAGAAUUUUUUAAACGGAAAAGCUCCAUGAAGUCUAAUAGCCCUCCCUCUGUCAAUGAACAAUAAAAAAAAUCAUGCCUUACAAUUUAUUCUCCAGUGCUUUGUUUAUUCGGUAUUAAAUGACUCAUGGAAUAAGGUUUCCACCUCUCCCCGUGGGAGAUUAUUCCAGCUGCUGAGGGCCUACUAGCAGCUCCCUUUCUUUCUUUUCUCUUUUAAUGAUGCUGAAGUUUUGCAUUAUAUUUUACUUUGGGAUGUAAAAGAUUCACAUCCCCAAACUUGCUUUAAAAUGCAAUUAAAGCUGUUGACAUGGAGUGAGAAAUCCAAGGAAACAUGCAAUUAAAACAGAAGUCCAUCAUAUAUUUCACUUAAAUACUGUGCCACCUCAACUGAACAUUUUUAAGCUAACUGCACACUUCCUUGCUUUUACAGGUUUGUUGCUUACUGUCAUGUAAAUGCACUUUUAUUGUAUUUAGCAUAAUGUAUUAUAAAUUAGCAUUAGGCAAACUCCUAAAGCCUGUUUUAUAGCUGUCACACCACAAACCACAUUUACAAAUAAAUAUUUGUUUCUACAGGUGAGUAUAUUACCUACUUGGAAAUGAUAAUUAUUUCCAGCAUUUUGACUCAGGGCUGUGCCUCUGCUCCAGUCCCACAGCCUGUUGUAUGCACAGAAUGGAACAUUCUUACAAAGAAUACUUUGCUUAUAGGAGUAGCAUGCCCUAAAAUUCUUUAAAUGUGUCUCUCUAAUGCAUUUUAUUGUUAUUAUUUUUAUCAGGCGCUGCAAAAUCUAUUUUAAAAGAGAAUAUUCUCCUGCUUUGAAAAUUCAUAGCG